rnacentral:sRNA from 1 species
AUUAUAGAAAAAAUGGACGUUAAAUAAUUGCAAUCAUUGAAAAUUCUCUAUCAGCAACUCUAUUUAAAGAACAGCAGCACAUAAAUAUAUGUGUAUUCCAGCUGUCAUUAACCGCAUAAUGAUAACCUUUGGUAUUCAAGAACACAAUUCAAGAUAUUCGCAAGCACUCUUCCAUAUUCCACCCUACCUAUGAGACAUAAAAAUGACAAAACGAGUAGCAGCAGUAUUAUUGGUCCGAUCACGACGAGAGCUAAAAACGAACUGAUAAGAUGAGAUGAAUACGCGACUUAGGAUGGAAUCUGUAUGCUAUCAGUAGAGAAUUACAAUAUAUAUAGGAAAUUACUUCCUUAUUGCAAGACGCUUCUCAAUUUUAUUUUGUAUAUGUUUUUUAUUUACUGAAAUUAACCAUUUGAUGUUUGUUUGCUUACAAUUACUAUUUCAUUAUAAUAUAGAAUUAUACACAUCUCAUAUAUACGAGUAAGUUGGGGGUUCCAUGACAUACAUAUGAAUCGAUUACUGCCACCAUUAAUUAUUAUUGUUUUCCCUUUUAGACGAAUUGAAGUUUUGAGUGGACACAAAUUUAAGUUAUAUUUUCUAUGGUUGUAUAUCUUUAUGCGGUAUGUAAGUAUGUAGAUACAUCUAUAAUUGGGAGUUCAUGCUCGAGCAUUCAUCUUACAAAAUAUACGUAAAAGCGCAGGCUGAUGUCUGUAUAGAUCUAUCAUAGUAUAAGUUGUUCAUAAUUUGCAUUCAGUACGCUGGAUAAUGUGUGUGGUGUGUCGCAUUUUCUUCAAGCUAUGCUUUGUUUUUUGUGUGGGAUGGGAUCUUUAUAAGUAAUGCCAA